AUUUGAUCCGUAUCCCAAGAUUCUUGACUCUUCUUGAUUUCUGGAAGGGUAGUUCCGACCUGAUUGCAGACACGAUUGCUAAAGAUCCAUCCGUCAGAUCGAUCUCAAUUUUGGAUAUGUUGUGGAUCUCCGCGUUAGCUUUCCAGCGGUAGGUCGUGGGUCUAGAGAGGACGUCGGGAUCUUAAGAUAUCAGCCUCCGACUGAUGACUGCGCAGGGAAGGACGGGCUGAUAAUCCAACGGGAUGGAGUUGUUUGUAGAGGCUGGAAGGGAUCAAGGAGG
rnacentral:lncRNA from 1 species